rnacentral:rRNA from 1 species
GUAACACGGUGGGUAACCUACCUAUAAGACUGGGAUAACUCCGGGAAACCGGGGCUAAUACCGGAUAACACAUGAAACCGCAUGGUUUCAUGAUGAAAGACGGUUUUGCUGUCACUUAUAGAUGGACCCGCGGCGUAUUAGCUAGUUGGUAAGGUAACGGCUUACCAAGGCAACGAUACGUAGCCGACCUGAGAGGGUGAUCGGCCACACUGGAACUGAGACACGGUCCAGACUCCUACGGGAGGCAGCAGUG